ensembl:miRNA
CAGGAAGUGGGUGGGUGCUCGAUGCUAGAUGGGCACAGACAAUGGUAAUAAAUAACAUCUAGCAUCGAGCACCCGCCUACUAACUGGC